rnacentral:rRNA from 1 species
CCUACGGGUGGCUGCAGUAGGGAAUAUUGGGCAAUGGGCGCAAGCCUGACCCAGCAACGCCGCGUGUACGAUGAAGGCCUUCGGGUCGUAAAGUACUUUUCUGGGAGAUGAGAAAGGACAGUAUCCCAGGAAUAAGUCUCGGCUAACUACGUGCCAGCAGCCGCGGUAAAACGUAGGAGACGAGCGUUAUCCGGAUUUACUGGGCGUAAAGCGCGUGCAGGCGGUUCAGCAAGUUGGAUGUGAAAUCUCCCGGCUCAACUGGGAGGGGUCGUUCAAUACUACUGGACUUGAGGGCAUCAGAGGAAGGUGGAAUUCCCGGUGUAGUGGUGAAAUGCGUAGAUAUCGGGAGGAACACCAGUGGCGAAGGCGGCCUUCUGGGAUGCAUCUGACGCUCAGACGCGAAAGCUAGGGGAGCGAACGGGAUUAGAUACCCUAGUAGUC